UACGAAGGGGGCAAGCGUUGUUCGGAAUUACUGGGCGUAAAGGGCGCGUAGGCGGCUUAUCAAGUCAGGCGUGAAAUUCCCGGGCUCAACCUGGGGCUGCGCUUGAUACUGAUUGGCUUGAAUGCGGGAGAGGAUAGUGGAAUUCCCAGUGUAGAGGUGAAAUUCGUAGAUAUUGGGAAGAACACCGGUGGCGAAGGCGGCUAUCUGGCCCGUAAUUGACGCUGAGGCGCGAAAGCGUGGGGAGCAAACAGG
rnacentral:rRNA from 1 species